rnacentral:rRNA from 1 species
AAUGGGCGAAAGCCUGACGGAGCGACGCCGCGUGCAGGAUGAAGGCCCUUGGGUUGUAAACUGCUGUCAGAGGGGAUGAAUCAUGGUUGGUUAUCCUUCCAUGUUGACAGAGCCUCAAAGGAAGCACGGGCUAAGUACGUGCCAGCAGCCGCGGUAACACGUACUGUGCGAACGUUAUUCGGAAUCACUGGGCUUAAAGGGUGCGUAGGCGGUUGAUCAAGUCAGAUGUGAAAUGCCUGAGCUCAACUGAGGCACUGCGUUUGAAACUGAUCGACUUGAGUAUUCCAGGGGUAUGCGGAACUGCCAGUGGAGCGGUGAAAUGCGUUGAUAUUGGCAGGAACACCAGUGGCGAAGGCGGCAUACUGGGGGAUAACUGACGCUGAGGCACGAAAGCCAGGGUAGCGAACGGGAUU